GAUGAACGCUAGCGGCAGGCCUAAUACAUGCAAGUCGAACGGUGUCUUCGGACAUAGUGGCGCACGGGUGCGUAACACGUAUGCAACCUACCUUACAUUGGGGGAUAGCCUUUCGAAAGGGAGAUUAAUCCCGCAUAAGACAGUAGCUGGGCAUCCAGCAGCUGCUAAAGAUUUAUCGAUGUAAGCUGGGCAUGCGUCCAAUUAGCUAGUUGGUGAGGUAACGGCUCACCAAGGCAAUGAUUGGUAGGGGAACUGAAAGGUCAAUCCCCCACACUGGCACUGAGAUACGGGCCAGACUCCUACGGGAGGCAGCAGUAGGGAAUAUUGGGCAAUGGACGCAAGCCUGAUCCAGCAAUGCCGCGUGCAGGACGAAGGCCUUCGGGUUGUAAACUGCUUUUGUACGGAGCGAAACGAUCUCCUCUAAUACAGGGGGUUAAUGACGGUACCGUAAGAAUAAGCACCGGCUAACUACGUGCCAGCAGCCGCAGUAAAAC
rnacentral:rRNA from 1 species